rnacentral:rRNA from 1 species
UACGUAGGGUGCAAGCGUUGUCCGGAAUUAUUGGGCGUAAAGAGCUCGUAGGCGGUUUGUCGCGUCUGCUGUGAAAAUCCAGGGCUUAACCCUGGACCUGCAGUGGGUACGGGCAGACUGGAGUGCGGUAGGGGAGAUCGGAAUUCCUGGUGUAGGCGGUGAAAUGCGCAGAUAUCAGGAGGAACACCGGUGGCGGAAGGCGGAUCUCUGGGCCGUAACUGACGCUGAGGAGCGAAAGCAUGGGGAGCGAACAGG